UACGAAGGGGGCUAGCGUUGCUCGGAAUCACUGGGCGUAAAGGGUGCGUAGGCGGGUCUUUUAAGUCAGGGGUGAAAUCCUGGAGCUCAACUCCAGAACUGCCUUUGAUACUGAAGAUCUUGAGUUCGGGAGAGGUGAGUGGAACUGCGAGUGUAGAGGUGAAAUCGUAGAUAUUCGCAAGAACACCAGUGGCGAAGGCGGCUCACUGGCCCGAUACUGACGCUGAGGUGCGAAAGCGAUGGGGAGCAAACAGGGAUUAAGAAA
rnacentral:rRNA from 1 species